rnacentral:lncRNA from 1 species
GACACUACAGGCUGGCCCGUGGGGGUUGGGACCUCAGGAGGACAGAGGUGACUUGGCGGCUUUGAGAGAGGACAGAUCAGCAAUAACUGCUGCUGACACAGCCACGGAGUGAGGCUGGUCUGGCGGAGAGCGGACACCACAGCUUCCUUCUCAAACGGACCCCCUCGUGUCAAUAAGUCUGAGGGAGCCAGAUCUGUUUCUUGCCACAGAGGCGGCAGGAAAUAAAUACACGGCCCUUUGACCACUCCUUCCUUCCUUCUUCGAAAAAAGCCUUCUCUUUUCACCUGCGAUGCACGUUGGGAUUUCAAGUACGAAUUCAUCCCACGAGGAAGGAGACGUGCGGCCGGAUGCGGUCUAAAAACACAGCGCCGGACCCCAACACAGCGCUGCCAUGGUUCUGACUGUGAAGAGGUAAAGUAAAACCUUGGCUUGCGUGUCACUUGUCCUGCGAGUGUUCCGCGAGAUGAGCGAACAUUUCUAAUAAAUUUUAAUUUGAUAAACGAGCGAUGUCCCGC